rnacentral:rRNA from 1 species
CCUACGGGAGGCAGCAGUGGGGAAUUUUGGACAAUGGGCGCAAGCCUGAUCCAGCAAUGCCGCGUGCAGGAUGAAGGCCUUCGGGUUGUAAACUGCUUUUGUACGGAACGAAACGGCCCUUUCUAAUACAAGGGGCUAAUGACGGUACCGUAAGAAUAAGCACCGGCUAACUACGUGCCAGCAGCCGCGGUAAUACGUAAGGUGCGAGCGUUAAUCGGAAUUACUGGGCGUAAAGCGAGCGCAGGCGGUUAUAUAAGACAGAUGUGAAAUCCCCGGGCUCAACCUGGGACCUGCAUUUGUGACUGUAUAGCUAGAGUACGGUAGAGGGGGAUGGAAUUCCGCGUGUAGCAGUGAAAUGCGUAGAUAUGCGGAGGAACACCGAUGGCGAAGGCAAUCCCCUGGACCUGUACUGACGCUCAUGCACGAAAGCGUGGGGAGCAAACAGGAUUAGAUACCCUGGUAGUCCACGCCCUAAACGAUGUCAACUGGUUGUUGGGUCUUCAUUGACUCAGUAACGAAGCUAACGCGUGAAGUUGACCGCCUGGGGAGUACGGCCGCAAGGUUGAAACUUAAGGAAUUGACGG